rnacentral:rRNA from 1 species
UACGUAGGGGGCAAGCGUUGUCCGGAUUUGUUGGGCGUAAAGAGCGUGUAGGCGGGUAGGUAAGUCCGGUGUGAAAACUCGAGGCUCAACCUCGAGACGCCGAUGGAAACCAUCUAACUAGAGUCCGGAAGAGGAGAAUGGAAUUCCUGGUGUAGCGGUGAAAUGCGCAGAUAUCAGGAAGAACACCCGUGGCUAAGGCGGUUCUCUAGUACGGUACUGACGCUGAGACGCGAAAGCGUGGGGAGCGAACAGG